UACGUAGGGGGCAAGCGUUGUCCGGAUUUAUUGGGCGUAAAGAGCGUGUAGGCGGCCAGGUAGGUCUGCUGUGAAAACUCGAGGCUCAACCUCGAGACGUCGGUUGAAACCGUAUGGCUAGAGCCCGGAAGAGGAGAGUGGAAUUCCCGGUGUAGCGGUGAAAUGCGCAGAUAUCGGGAAGAACACCUAUGGCGAAGGCAGCUCUCUGGGACGGUACUGACGCUGAGACGCGAAAGCGUGGGGAGCAAACAGG
rnacentral:rRNA from 1 species